CUGCCACAGGGAAGGAUCUCCAGUAGGAGAUUCCCCCUUGGUGAAGCUUUCCCCUGCAAACCUGGUGUUUUCUGAUACAGAUCGUGUUCCUGGAGUAGAGCCAGAUGGCUCAUCGCAACAAGACAUGAUGUCUACAGAGCUCGGUAUCACAUUCCAGGGGAAGAGAAAACACCUGCAAGAGACAAGUAAACUAAGAGAGACAGGUACAGGAAAAUGGAGUAAAGCAGGGUUCAUUUAUUGUCAGUCCUUCGUCUUUGGAAUUCUUUUGGUUUCCAGCUUGUGGCCAGAAGCCAAUACUUGGUGAACUCAGUCCUGAAAGACAGGCUCUUCAGAGAAUGUAUGAUCUGAGGGAUGCUGUGGGUAAAUAGAACUUCAGUUGAAUUUCCUGAUUUCCUCCAGCAGGCUGCACCCUGGCAAGACAUGUCAGAACCGAAGAGGGGAGAAUUUAUCUCCAAGUUUUCAAAAUAAUGGGAGAAAGAGAGAUGUGAUCAUAUAAUUAAUGAUGACUAUAAGACAUAAUGUAUAUGUACAUACAUGUAUGUACAUAUGCGAUAAUAAACGUAUUUCAUUACUAUAAUGCAUAUGAAGUACUGAAUAGA